GCGCAGCAGACCACUCAGGAUAUGGCUCCUGGAUGAUGUGACUUGAUAUGACUCGAUGGAACUGUAUGGCAGCCAUACUCGACCAUCGAUUGCUCGAUCGAUAUCGAUAAUCAGGUCAGCUGAAUGAGCCCGUCGAGUGCUGCUACCCAGUCGUCAAUCCAGAUCAGCUUCUAACCGGAAUAAGAUGAAAGAGAUCGGAAGCAAACCGAGAUGAGCUUUCUGCUUACUACCAGUUCUGGAUAGUCGAUUAGUAG
rnacentral:lncRNA from 1 species